UACGGAUGGUGCAAGCGUUAUCCGGAUUCACUGGGUUUAAAGGGUGCGUAGGUGGGUCUGUAAGUCAGUGGUGAAAUCCCCGAGCUUAACUUGGGAACUGCCGUUGAUACUAUAGAUCUUGAAUAUCGUGGAGGUAAGCGGAAUAUGUCAUGUAGCGGUGAAAUGCUUAGAUAUGACAUAGAACACCAAUUGCGAAGGCAGCUUACUACACGAUCAUUGACACUGAGGCACGAAAGCGUGGGGAGCAAACAGG
rnacentral:rRNA from 1 species